AUUCGACAGUAGCAUGAAAAUGGCGGUGUGAAAUGGCAGGACGACGUUCGGUACUGACGAAUGCGGAAUCCCUGUCAGGGUCAGGGGGUGCAGACCCUUUGAGGGAACUCUUCGAAGCCUGCAAAACUGGAGAUCUCGUCAGAGUGAAGAAAUUUAUAACGCCGAAGACGGUUAACGCGAGAGACACGGCCGGACGCAAGUCCACCCCUCUGCACUUCGCAGCUGGAUACGGCAGACGAGAUGUGGUAGAAUUUCUCCUGUCAGCGGGUGCGUCUAUACAGGCUCGUGAUGACGGCGGAUUGCAUCCUCUACAUAACGCCUGUUCCUUUGGUCAUUCCGAUGUUGUAAGACUUCUACUAGAAGCUGGAGCUAAUCCAAACACUCGAGAUAAUUGGAACUACACACCUCUUCACGAAGCAGCUAUAAAAGGUAAAAUAGACGUAUGCAUAGCAUUGCUACAACACGGAGCAGAUGCAAAUAUACGAAACACAGAAGGCAAAACGGCCCUGGAGUUAGCCGAUGCCAUCACGAAACCGGUGUUGACUGGUGAAUACAGAAAGGACGAGCUCCUAGAAGCAGCCAGAUCCGGAAACGAGGAACGACUUCUACAACUGCUAAAUCCUCUUAACGUAAAUUGCCAUGCCAGCGACGGACGGCGGUCGACGCCAUUGCAUUUAGCUGCGGGAUAUAAUCGUUCACGGGUUGUGCAAAUUUUACUUCAAAACGGAGCAGAUGUUCAUGCCAAGGAUAAAGGGGGUCUGGUACCACUUCACAAUGCUUGUUCUUACGGGCACUUCGAAGUGACAGAGGCGCUGCUGAAGCACGGGGCGGCUGUCAAUGCAAGUGAUUUAUGGGCUUUUACACCACUUCAUGAAGCGGCCAGCAAGUCCAGGGCUGAAGUGUGUUCGUUGCUCUUAAGCGAGGGUGCGGAUCCUACGCAAUUGAACUGCCAUAGCAAAAGUGCCAUCGACGUAGCACCCACGCUUGAGUUGCAGGAAAGACUGGCGUACGAGUAUAAAGGACAUUGUCUACUGGACGCCUGCAGGCAGGCUGAUCCUACGAAGCUUAAGAAAUAUCUCUCCCAAGAAGUAGUCAACUUCAAGCAUCCUUAUACAGGCGACACACCCUUGCACUGUGCCGUAGCCACGCCCUAUCCUAAGAGGAAGCAAAUAAUCGAGACUCUAAUAAGGAAGAACGCCGCGCUGAACGAGAAGAAUAAGGACUUCCUGACACCGCUCCACGUCGCGACGGAUCAUUCCCAUUACGACGCCAUGGAUGUUCUACUGAGGCAUAACGCUAAAGUCAAUGCACUUGAUGGUUUGGGGCAGACGGCCUUGCACAGGUGCGCCAGAGAGGACAACGUUCAAGCCUGCAGGAUACUCUUGUCGUACAAUGUGGAUCCUUCCAUAGUCUCUUUGCAAGGAUAUUCCGCAGCGCAGGUCGCUACGGAAAACGUCCUUAAAAUUUUACAAGAUCCACCAAGCGGAACGGAAGACGUGGAAGCUCAACUUUUAGAAGCAAGCAAGGCUGGUGACUUGACGGCAGUAGAGAGAAUCCUUCAGGCUAAUUCGCAUGCUGUAAACUGUCGUGACCUGGACGGUAGGCACUCCACGCCGUUACACUUUGCUGCGGGGUACAAUAGGGUGCCCGUCGUCGAGUAUCUCUUAGCACACGGUGCCGAUGUUCAUGCCAAGGAUAAAGGUGGGCUGGUGCCACUUCACAAUGCCUGUUCCUAUGGUCACUACGAGGUAACGGAACUGCUUGUUAAGCACGGUGCCUCUGUGAAUGUGGCUGACCUAUGGAAAUUUACACCACUGCACGAGGCUGCCGCUAAGGGUAAGUGCGAAAUCGUACGGCUUCUCCUGAGGCACGGUGCGGAUGCUACCAAAAAGAACAGAGACGGAGCGACGCCGUUGGAUCUCGUAAGAGAUGGGGAUCAAGAUGUGGCUGAUCUACUACGAGGAAACAGUGCUCUCCUAGAUGCUGCUAAGAAGGGUAAUCUGGCCAGAGUGCAAAGACUGGUUACACAAGAUAAUAUAAACUGCAGAGAUGCUCAGGGUCGAAACAGUACUCCGUUACACUUGGCUGCUGGAUAUAAUAAUCUCGAAGUGGCGGAAUUCCUACUAGAACGUGGUGCCGACGUAAACGCUCAAGAUAAGGGGGGUUUGAUACCCUUACAUAACGCUUCAAGUUACGGGCAUCUGGACAUUGCGGCUUUGUUAAUAAAAUACAAUACAGUCGUUAAUGCCACUGACAAAUGGGGCUUCACGCCAUUGCACGAAGCUGCGCAGAAGGGUAGAACACAAUUAUGUGCUCUUCUGCUAGCACAUGGAGCAGAUCCCUUCCUGAAGAAUCAAGAAGGUCAAAGUCCUGUCGACUUGGCUAGUGCAGAUGACGUUAGAUGUUUACUUCAAGAUGCCAUGGCAUCCCAACAAGUUGUUCCUUCCGUUCCACCGAGUAGACCACCGAGUAUAGUUGCGGGUGAGUACAAAUUGUUACAAUUUAAUGUCAUUAUUAAGAAUGAAAUUAAAUAUUUACUAUUUACAGUUCCUGUUACUCCACCACCACCAUUGACACAAGAGACCGUCAUAAUGCCUUCCGGCGCUGCUAUGACGCUUUGCGUACCAAUGGCUAGACCUACUUCCUGUCUGAGUCCGAUGCCCUCGAUAGAACCUUGUUCAGAAAGAGAAUCGAAGGAUAUGUGCGAGGAGCGUAGCACCGCCAGUGUCACAACUGUUGCUGGUUUUCUUCAGAGUCUUGGUCUGGAGCAUUUGCUCGAGUUGUUCGAGAGAGAACAGAUCACUCUGGACAUCCUGGCGGAAAUGGGCCAUGAAGACCUUAAACAGGUCGGGAUCUCUGCUUAUGGAUACAGACACAAGCUUAUCAAAGGGAUGGACAAGCUUCUUAGCUCUACGGCAGGAUCCCUCUGGCAACCAUCAAUUAAUCCUGGAACUCUAUUGGUCGAUCUCCUGGCAGAGGACAAGGAAUUCCUGGCCGUUGAGGAGGAGAUGCAGAGCACCGUCAGAGAACACAGAGACAACGGACAUUCCGGUGGCGUCUUUUCUCGCUACAACAUCAUCAGGAUACAAAAAGUGCAAAACCGGAAGCUGUGGGAACGAUACGCCCAUAGAAGACAGGAAGUGGCAGAGGAAGUCGGGGCUGCACCAGCAUCACCUAGUACAACUCCUAGAGCAACUCCUAGUCCAGCUGCACCUCAAGCUAACGAAAGGAUGCUCUUCCACGGUAGCUCUUUCAUAAACGCCAUCGUUCAAAAAGGUUUUGACGAGCGCCAUGCUUAUAUCGGUGGAAUGUUCGGUGCUGGCAUCUAUUUCGCAGAGCACAGUAGUAAAAGUAAUCAAUACGUUUACGGUAUCUGUGGCGGUACCGGAUGUCCAGCACAUAAAGACAGAAGUUGCUAUAUCUGCCACAGGCAUCUGCUACUCUGUCGGGUAACACUCGGUAAAUCGUUCCUGCAAUUCUCAGCGAUGAAGAUGGCACACGCUCCACCAGGACAUCACAGCGUGAUGGGCAGACCAUCUCAAGGUGGUCUAGUGUUCCCUGAAUACGUGGUAUACAGGGGUGAACAGGCGUAUCCCGAGUACCUAAUAACCUAUCAGAUCGUCCGACCCCAGCAGGAAAGCGGAAGUGGCGAGGGUGGUGAAGAUCGGUGAUCGGAAGAGGUUAGCCCCACGGCAAAGCUAUGCCGUCUCUGUUGUUAUCAGAGACGAAGAACCUGUGACGUCAUCUCCUAGGUCCUGGCCAGACAUUUACUCUAUCCAUCCUAUCUCGCAAUGGUUUAUCUAACGCAUCGCACUAGGACUUUCAUCGAAAGCUGUCUAAGCUCUCGUAGGUGUGAGCUACGUGCGGGAUCUGAUUGAUAAGGUAAUCAAGACACUAUGAUUCUCUGAACUGAACUCGGAUACUCGUGCAAGCGAGUCCCAACCUCUCGUAUAUCGAUGAAACUGAAUUCGCGCGUUUUACGUAGAGUAAAGCUACAUGGAAAAGUCACGAGAUGGUUACGUUAUUGCGCGACUAUACUAGGACAAACUGAUCUCUUAUAGAUCGGUAUUUCAAACGAUCUAUGAAUAAACAAAGGCCACGAAGCGAGCAACGAGAAUACCGUUGAGUCAAUUGCUAAGGAAUACGAUAUCUGGUAUUCCUUUUUAUAUCAGCGGUAUACGUAAGUGUGUAUAGAUUAUAAUAACAUAACUGUCUUAAUGGACACUAAACGUUAUAUUAACGAUUAUUACAAAGAGAGACGCUUAAAUUGGCACAAUUCAUUCAAGGUUUCAUUGAUACUCGUUCUAUAGACGUGGCGCUGCGUUCGUGCGAGAUUAAUAUUUUUUCUGUAAAAAAAUGCUCAAAGAAUACCCCGUAAUGUGUCGCCAGAGACACCUUAAAAUAUUAUUUUUUUGGACAAAUGACUAUAAAAUAGCCUAAAAAUCCCCGAUAGUGACGUCAUAGGCAUCUAAAAUAUUUUUAGCGAAGGGGAAACCUACUAAAAAAUAUUUUUUAAGCAGGUCAACAGUGCCAAAUCUUGUAGGAAAAAGGCCAGAAAGCGUUUUCUUCGAGCAUUUGUUACAAAAACCGUUGUAUCUAGCUGCUAACGAAUGAGUGUAAGACUCGUGUGAUUGUUUCACUCGCCUAACGGCCGUGUACAAAAUUUCACACUCGUGUAUUAAACUCAUUCGUACUAGAUAGAUAAAAUACUAGUUUUCUCUCUUCGCUCCUAGCCGGAAAUUUUCUCAUGUAUCAAUCAACCAUUCAUUUCGAAAGACUCGAAUUUUAUUCGAUUUUCGGAAUUUUAUUGAUUGCCAAUAUACCUUGGCACUCCGUCAUUCAUCUCUAAAGGAAAUCAUGGUUACUUUCAUACCAAGUACCAGUUUUGUCAGAUGCGUCUUCGAAUUAAUUGGGAUACAGAAUUUAGUUGUUUAAUUAACCUAACGCGUAUCUAUACGUACAGAUGAUUAUUCAAUGUUAUAUUAAUCUACAGGGUGAACCGAAUGUGCCGGUAUCUCCCUGUAUAUAUUUCUAAUUUCGCAGUAUUACACUUAGAUAUACAAUAUGAGAGUUAUCAUAGCAAUUCGUAUUAUGGUAUCGAUUACCAAUAAUUAAACGAAAUCCGUGAUUUUAUAUUUCUCCCAUCUUCCAUGCGCUUCAUGUAAAAUUUCCAUUAAUCUCGUCGUACGUCGCAGUGCUAUUUCGAAAUAAAAUGACCUGGCAAAUCUGGUGGCUCGUACGAAUUAAAAUUAAAAAGAAAUGGUAUAGUUUAUAAACUAUAAUCUGUCCACGAUAAACAAGUCUGACACGUCCGCGUUCAGUGCGUGCGUGAGUGCGUGUAUCCAUAUACACUACAAUAUAAAGCAAGGGAUAGAUAGUGAGAAAAAAAAUGGCGGAUAAAGUGUUUAAGGCGGACAAAGCGAAUAAAGAUGAAUUGAAGGGAGGAAAAGAAAAGUAAAUACUUGAAAGCCGAUAAUAUUUUUCAGGGCGAUUUUGCGCGCGCCACUAUUAGCUAGUUUAUAGGUGACGGUGGCUUUUAUUUAUGGGUAUUUAGCUUGGAUAAAUAUCUGAUAAAUAAAUGAAUAAGCAGAGUAUACACGGGUGUGUUAUUUUUAAUAAUCGGUCAUUGGACAAAUGUCGAUCGCGUAGUCUUAUCAUUCGGUCACCCUCGGGUACACGUUACACAUAUAUUAUGUAUACAUGCGUUCACACGUAGUCAAGAGUAAACUGUAAAUGAAAUCCUUGGAAUUCUUUUUCCAUGAUUCUCAGUAACCUGAGUGUAUCUUCCCGCUUUUGUUAUCAUUUAAUUAUAAUUUAUUCUACCGCACUGAAUUGUCUCUGCGAUGCCGACCAAGGAUUGACCUUUGACCUUACUAAUCUGAUUCCAUAAAAUCUGAACAUCCUGUACGUUAUUCGGGAUGGAUCUUAUACGUAGAAAAUGCUAGUCCGUCGGUCGGCUUCACGACGCUUGUCCUUCUCACAUGCGUAAUGUAUGCUCGUACGACAUACCAUAUGUGAUACGAUUGUCUGUGGUCAGGGGCAUAUGUUAUUCCGUGAAAAAAAUAACGAGAGUAAUAGACUAUUUCUAAAUCUCAUUGGCAAUAUUUACGUGCACCGAACUAUCUAAGUCAUUGGAAUCAAUCGUGCGAGUAAAUAUGACGUUUUACGUAAUCCCAUGUGUAUAUAUCAUGAUAUGCGUAUUAGCUGGGUGGGUCGUAUGCGGAAAUGCAAGGUUGUUUCACUUGAAAUGCUUGGAAAUUAAGUAUAGUCAAAAACCGAAGUUGCAUUAUAAUCUUUAUCAAAUAAUUAGGAAACUUGCGAUCAGCUUAAAUCAAUAUAAUGACAAUACGAAUAUUUCAGAAUUUUGACGAAUUUUUUUAAAAAUCUUUAUGCGAUCGCUGUUCUUGAUAAUGUCGCUAUUAUUACUGUCGUUGUUCGUAGCGUUACUAUAAAUUAUUCUGGUGUCGCGAUUAAAUGCAGAUUUUUGGCUUCCUAUGCUAUUCUGUAUCCGACGAUGAUCGGAUGUCCUGUUGACAUCCUUUGGACAUCCUAUGGACGUUCUGUGGAUAUUAUAUGUUGUAACCAGACUUAUUCUCGGUACACCUGUGGUAGAUUUAUCGGGAAGACGAUCGUAUGUAAACUUAAGCAUUGUAACGAGGCAAUGUAUCUCCACUGUAUUAACUUAUACAUAUAGUCUAACGUUACGCUAUUGUCACGUAAUAAAAGAAGGAUAUUCCAUAGGAAUAUCGUAGGUCUCAUUUGUCGAUUGGAUAAGUCGUCAACGACAUUUUCAAUGUCAAAGACAAAAGGUCUAGGAUUAUUAUUUAAGCAAUUCUUUACUAUAAUUUACUAAGAACCCAUCUGUGUGAUAUCUUUCUUAAACCUUAACUACAUACGUGCGAUCCGAGUUUUACGUUUAGCCCUCCUGUUCAGUUUGUUUCUACGUAAAUUUUCAAUAAACUAAGGAAAAUCUAUUACAUUAUUAUUAUUUGAUACCAAGUCGAUAAAAUUAUUUAAGAUAAGAGGAGAGCUGCGUAAAACUGUACUUUCACUCUCACGUACCUUAUAUUGUUAAGUGUUCCUAAAGUCGGACCUUUGUAGUUUAGGAUCAAUGAUCAAAUCUUCCUUACUUUGUAAGCGUUAAUUGACCUCUUUAAAACUUUAUAUGAAAUGCUAUUGAUAAAGCGGUCCUUCUAAGGCUCUUCUAGUAAAGGUUAAAAUAACAGUAGAAAAUUUUGAAGUCUUAUCAAACAUUUUAGCAACAUUUUAUUUAUUAUGUUACUCUAUUACUGUAUCUAAUGAUAUAGCUUCAGUUACCAGGUAAGUAAUGAUGUGGUAUUUUUGGUUUAUUUUCCUUUACAAAGAACAACGAAUUUUCUUAGAGUGUAAAAAAAAGUGUUGCACAACGCCGAUGGAUAAAACUUCUAAAUAUAGAAGGGGCUGGCCAAAAAUAUAUACUUAUUACUGCUCUGGUCACGAUAAAGCGAAAACUAUAGAGAUAACUCCAAAGUGUCACCCGAUAAUCAUGGAUAGCACCUCUUAUAUAUCACGCGUAAAAAAAAAGAAUCAAACAAACAAUCCAUGAAACGUUAAAUAACUUUAUAGUGAUACAUAUAGUAUAGAGAAUCUAGUUUUUUUAAUACUUGUGUAUACAAUAGAUAACUCUACGGCACGCUUCAGCUGUCCUAAUCGUACGUAACGAUUAUUUCGAUAUCGAUAUAUCCACGAGUAAACCUAUUCCAUAUGGAAAAAGUAUUAAUGAAGAUGGAAUAAUUAUGAAAAAAAAACUGAGUCAAACAAUUAUAAUAUUAAUAGCCUGAAGGCCGAUAAGGCAGGACAACGCGGAUAAAUAAAAUGAUAUUCGGUAAUUGCGUCGAUUCCGAUAAAAAUACACGUAUAACUUGCCCAGAUAAGGACAAAAAGAGGAAGCUGAAAGAUUGAAAAAACGUAUGACGCAGUAUCGAAGAAAAAUUAUCCCGACGCCCAAAAACGUCAAUCACAUUGCGUGACCAGUAACACCAGUGGUCAAAGUCUCCCUACAUUAUCGACUUGUGCGUGCAUGAUUUUUCCUGGGUUUUUUUCUUUACGAGGCCGUGAGAUUUUGUCGCCAUGAAAAUGGCGAUUCUUUACAAGUACCUGGGAAAGGACGUUAUUCAUUCCGUUGGUAUACUUGACUGUGCGGCCAGUUGGAAGUUGCAUCCUUAGCGAUGGUAUCGUUCUGAACGAUCGACGCCACGAUAAAUUGUCUUACUUCGCGCGAAGAACGCACGGUGUCUGCAUUUUUCUCCUGAUCUUUUUUCUUAACUUAACCUAACCAUUUGUUUUUUCGCGACAUACUGCGUCACGCGAUCGUUCCUAGUUUACUUCUGGUUGUGUGAUUUUGUUUAUUUAGGAUUUACCAAUGCACCGUGGAUAUCAAUAUACUGCCUGUCAGUAUACUCUUGGGGAUGUAGAAACUCGUGGACUAUUUGUUCUACUGAGAAUGAGCAACAGACCGUAAAAUUAUACCUGCCGACGAUGCUGAUGUACCCGAUUGAGUUAAUUGGCAUACUCGCGUGGCGGAUAGAAGAGAUAUCUAUUUUUCUUUUCUUUUUUAAGAAAUAAAAAAAUGUUUAAGUUUAUACGGAAUCUUCAAUGAAAACCGUUUCCUGCUUUUUAAAACAUAUGUAUGUACUGACGUACCGAGCGACGUGAAUUGGUCGAUGUGAUAAUUGCGUGGUGUAAAAUUUAUGCAGGAUAUUUUUUUGCAAACUAAGGGGAACAAACUGACCAGUAUGACGGUAAACAGCAAAGUCAAGAGAAGAUAUUUGGGAAGGCACAAGUAUGGAAGAUAUUUCUUUAUCCGUAUAUAAUUAGGUAAUAAAAAGUCAUUCUGGCUGUAGGUAGAAUGAUCCUUCGCUAAUAUUUAACACUUCCGCCGACAGAGGGGUGCAGGUUCCCUCACACAGUCCUGUCUGUUGGCCUGUGCGAAGGAGAUGCGUAUAAGUUUGUCACUGUUAAACCCUAUUUACCAUGCACAUAGUGGCGGGCUUUCUUGAUAUCUAAUUUCCAGUAAUGUGUACCCCUGUUCAGUGUGGGAGUACUGUAUGGUUUUUUUUUUUAAUAGUUACAAUAAUCAAAAUCAUAAAUUCGAAAUGUACUUACGUAUUGAUUACAGUAUUACAAGAUGUCAUCCAGACGCCAACUUUGUCCCGUAAGUUUUUUUUUUUUCGCAAUAUGUAGCUUUCAAAACGUCAGCAAAAUAAAGGCGUAAUUGGCAGAAACAAAUUUAUAAGCCGAAUCGCAUAGUCGGAUAAGAUAGCUUCUCGUAACCCGGCAUAAAACAUCAGUCGAUAAGGGGAUAAAAGGCGAAAAGAAUAAAAGGGGAAAUCAAACCGAGACGGGCUUGGUGGCAGCCAGCUAAAGCAUCUGCUAUAAGGACAUGGAAAUACGGACAAAGGGCUUAUCAGAGCGUAAUGACGAGGGUUUCGUAUUGCCAACUUGAAAAACUUGAUUUUCUUAUUAUGAGUACGAAGUAAGCAGCCGAGAGAAUUGAAGCUCCGACACAGCGUUACGCAUUGCGAUUCUCGUUCCGUAAGGGCGUGCGCGUAAGACAAUUGUACACAGGUUCGAUAUUAGAUAAUAAAGAGGAUAUAGGUA